CCGAGUGUAGCUCAGUUGGUAGAGCGAUUGACUGUAGUGUUCUAUACUGUGUUUCAGUAUUCUCGGAAAUCAAUUGGUCGCUGGGUCGAUUCCGGCCACUCGGA
rfam:Phytophthora infestans T30-4 supercont1.26 genomic scaffold, whole genome shotgun sequence.